AGCUACUUCAAGCUCUGCUCUCUCUCUCCCUUGUUCUGAACAAAAAUCCUUGUUAAGAUGUGCCUUGGAGCAGAUACCAUCCUUCAGGUUCCAAGUUCAAGAGAAGUUUUUGUCUCAACAUCUCCUUCGUGGCUUUCCCCAUCUUUUCUACCACAAAGUGGCCUGGAUCCCAGAACAGAGCAAGCCACUGAGAUUUCAGCUUGGCAAGACCCAGCACCCAAGGUUUGGCCAACCUCCAGCGUCCUCACACCUCCUGCCCUCUCUGCGGAUCAUUUAUUCCAAGGCCUUGCUAUAAAUAUCCACUCAGCGAAAUACCUCGCUCCUCGGGUACCCACUUCCCAGCCCUGGCCGCCUGUACCAUGCUCACUCAAUGCCAGCUUGCAAUCAGCCUGCAAUCUGAAUCCACUUUGCUCACCCAGCACUGAAGGACUGCCGGAGCUAGUCUGCUGGGGUAUGCUGGCAUGCCCCCAAGAUCACUUUUGCAAGUUAAUGGUGCAGUAGUCAGUUGUUAAAAACACUAAUUGACAUUAAAUAGGUGAUGUUAUCUGACAAUACG